rnacentral:rRNA from 1 species
AGAUUGAACGUUGGCGGCAUGCCUAACACAUGCAAGUCGAACGGGAGUAGCAAUACUCUAGUGGCGGACGGGUGAGGAAUACGUAGGAAUUUUGCCCUUAAGUGGGGGAUAACCCGGGGAAACCCGGAUUAAUACCGCAUGACCUCGAAAGAGCAAAGUGGGGGAUCGCAAGACCUCACGCUUUUGGAGAAGCCUACGUCGGAUUAGCUAGUUGGUGAGGUAAUGGCUCACCAAGGCGACGAUCCGUAACUGGUCUGAGAGGAUGAUCAGUCACACCGGAACUGAGACACGGUCCGGACUCCGUACGGGA